rnacentral:rRNA from 1 species
CAAUAGCGUAUAUUAAAGUUGUUGCGGUUAAAAGCUCGUAGUUGGAUUUCUGUCGAAGGCGGCCGGUCCGCACUAUGUGCGUGUAUCUGGUUCGGUUUUGGCAUCCUCUUGGGGAACGUUUCUGUGCUUGAUUGCAUGGGGCGGGAUUCAAGACUUUUACUUUGAGGAAAUUAGAGUGUUCACGGCAGGCAAACGCCUUGAAUAUAUUAGCAUGGAAUAAUAAUAUAGGACCUUUGUUCUAUUUUGUUGGUUUCUAGAGCGAAGGUAAUGAUUAAUAGGGAUAAUUGGGGGCAUUUGUAUUAACGCGUCAGAGGUGGAAUUCUUGGAUUGCGUUACGACAAACUACUGCGAAAGCAUUUGCCAAGGAUAUUUUCAUUGAUCAAGAACGAAAGUUAGGGGAUCGAAGAUGAUCAGAUACCAU